CACGUAGGGUGCGAGCGUUGUCCGGAAUCAUUGGGCGUAAAGAGCUCGUAGGCGGUGUGUCGCGUCGGCCGUGAAAACUUGGGGCUUAACUCUGAGCGUGCGGUCGAUACGGGCAUCACUUGAGUUCGGCAGGGGAGACUGGAAUUCCUGGUGUAGCGGUGAAAUGCGCAGAUAUCAGGAGGAACACCGGUGGCGAAGGCGGGUCUCUGGGCCGAUACUGACGCUGAGGAGCGAAAGCGUGGGGAGCGAACAGG
rnacentral:rRNA from 1 species